rnacentral:rRNA from 1 species
UACGUAGGGGGCUAGCGUUGUCCGGAAUCAUUGGGCGUAAAGAGCGUGUAGGCGGCCCGGUAAGUCCGCUGUGAAAGUCAAAGGCUCAACCUUUGAAUGUCAGCGGAUACUGCCGGGCUAGAGUCCGGAAGAGGCGAGUGGAACUCCUGGUGUAGCGGUGGAAUGCGCAGAUAUCAGGAAGAACACCAAUGGCGAAGGCAGCACUCUGGGACGUGACUGACGCUGAGACGCGAAAGCGUGGGGAGCAAACAGG